rnacentral:rRNA from 1 species
CUGCUGCCUCCCGUAGGAGUUUGGACCGUGUCUCAGUUCCAAUGUGGGGGACCUUCCUCUCAGAACCCCUACUGAUCGUCGCCCCGGUGGGCCGUUACCCCGCCGGCAAGCUAAUCAGACGCAUCCCCAUCCUUUACCGGCCGAAGCCUUUGGUCAUGAAAAUAUGCAUCAANACCCUGACAACAUACGGUAUUAAUCCGCCUUUCGACGGGCUGUCCCAUAGUAAAGGGCAGGUUGGAUACGCGUUACUCACCCGUACGCCGGUCGCCAUCAG